rnacentral:rRNA from 1 species
AGACCCGAAACCCGGUGAUCUAGCCAUGGGCAGGUUGAAGGUUGGGUAACACUAACUGGAGGACCGAACCGACUAAUGUUGAAAAAUUAGCGGAUGACCUGUGGCUGGGGGUGAAAGGCCAAUCAAACCGGGAGAUAGCUGGUUCUCCCCGAAAGCUAUUUAGGUAGCGCCUCGUGAAUUCAUCUCCGGGGGUAGAGCACUGUUUCGGCUAGGGGGCCAUCCCGGCUUACCAACCCGAUGCAAACUGCGAAUACCGGAGAAUGUUAUCACGGGAGACACACGGCGGGUGCUAACGUCCGUCGUGAAGAGGGAAACAACCCAGACCGCCAGCUAAGGUCCCAAAGUCAUGGUUAAGUGGGAAACGAUGUGGGAAGGCCCAGACAGCCAGGAUGUUGGCUUAGAAGCAGCCAUCAUUUAAAGAAAGCGUAAUAGCUCACUGGUCGAGUCGGCCUGCGCGGAAGAUGUAACGGGGCUAAACCAUGCACCGAAGCUGCGGCAGCGACACUCAGGUGUUGUUGGGUAGGGGAGCGUUCUGUAAGCCUGUGAAGGUGGCCUGUGAGGGUUGCUGG